CUCCUCCCUCCGACUCUGUAAUCGCUCGGCGGCGAAACCCUGAAGAGCGACCCCUAAACGCCGUCGAUUUGGCCCUUCUUCGCUCCAGAUUGGAUAUACAUUUACUUCCAUAGGUAUAAUUAUAGAAAAUGUGGUGUACUGCCUUCUAGUUGGCUCAUAAAAUAUAAUUAUAAGUCUUUGCAUAGUGAAUAAUUAUGGAUGUUGAAGUGAUUGAUGUGGAAGGGAUGGGUCAUCGUGCAAUGGCGGAUGAUGGAGAUGCCGAACCCAAUGAAGGUGGAGACACAAAUUCCACGGUUCACGAUGAUGAAGAUGGGAUUAGCGAGCCAUAUGUUGGCAUGGAAUUUGACUCUGAGGAUGCUGCCAAGACUUUCUAUGACGAGUACGCAAGACGUUUGGGUUUUAACUCGAAAGUUAGUCAGUCUAGCUCUAGCCGGUCUAAACCUGAUUGCAUGACGAUCUCUCGGGAGUUUGUAUGUGGCAGAGAGGGUUUGAAAAGAAGGCAUGGUGAUACUUGUGAGGCAAUGCUUAGGGUAGAAUUGAAAGGUCAAGAAAAGUGGGUUGUUACAAAAUUUGUAAAGGAGCACAGCCAUGCCAUGGUUGGUCCCAGCAAAGUUCAUUAUCUUCGGCCUCGUAGGCAUUUUGCUGGCACUGCAAAGAAUGUGGCUGAAGCUUACCAAGGGGUGGGGACAGUUCCUAGUGGUGUUAUGUUUGUCUCAAUGGAUGGAAACCGUGUUCCCGUAGAGAAAAAUGUUAGGAACUCUCUUCCUGUGGAGUCGAACCGGUUAGUUAAGAACAUUGCAACAAUAAAUUAUCCAGUUAGGCCUGGUAGUCGAAAAAGGACACUAGGGAGGGAUGCUCAGAAUUUGCUGGAGUAUUUCAAGAAAAUGCAAGCUGAGAACCCAGGCUUCUUCUAUGCCAUACAACUUGAUGAAGAUAAUCACAUGACUAAUGUGUUUUGGGUUGAUGCGAGGUCAAGAACAGCUUACAGUCAUUUUGGUGAUGCAGUAACUCUGGAUACUUCAUACAGGGUAUAUCAGUACAGGGUGCCCUUUGCUCCAUUUACUGGGGUGAAUCAUCAUGGUCAGACAGUUUUGUUUGGUUGUGCGUUACUUCUAGAUGAAUCAGAAGCUACUUUUACAUGGCUUUUCAAGACUUUUCUUACGGCAAUGAAUGAUCGCCCACCUGUCUCCAUUACCACUGAUCAAGACAGAGCAAUACAGGUUGCAGUUGCUAAUGCUUUUCCAGAAUCUCGCCACUGUAUUAGUAAGUGGCAUGUUUUAAGAGAAGGCCAGGAGAAGCUGGCUCAUGUUUGUCAUGCUCAUCCAAAUUUUCAGUUGGAACUUUAUAACUGUAUCAAUUUGACUGAAACUGUUGAGGAGUUUGAAUCCUCUUGGAAUUCUAUCCUUGAUAAAUAUGAUCUCAGAAGAAAUGAUUGGCUGCAAUCUUUAUAUAAUGCCCGUGCUCAAUGGGUUCCUGUUUAUUUUCGGGAUUCCUUUUUUGCUGCAAUUUCUCCAAAUAAAGGGUAUGAUGGUUCCUUCUUCGAAGGUUAUGUAAAUCAACAGACAACUUUACCAAUGUUCUUUAGGCAAUAUGAAAGAGCUUUAGAGAACUGGUUUGAAAAAGAAAUAGGUGCGGAUUUUGAUACAAUUUGCACAACUCCAGUAUUGAGGACACCAUCUCCUAUGGAGAAACAGGCAGCCGACCUUUAUACAAGAAAAAUUUUCACAAAAUUUCAAGAAGAGCUAGUUGAAACUUUUGUGUAUACUGCAAAUAGGAUUGAUGGUGAUGGAGCCAUUAGCACUUUCAGGGUCGCUAAAUUUGAGGAUGACAAUAAGGCAUAUAUUGUCACGUUGAACCAUCCUGAGUUAAGAGCUGACUGUAGUUGUCAAAUGUUUGAGUAUUCAGGCAUUCUUUGUAGACAUGUUUUGACCGUUUUUACUGUGACCAAUGUACUUAAAUUGCCUUCUCAUUACAUUCUGAAACGUUGGACAAGAAAUGCAAAGACUGGAUCUGGUUUAGAUGAACGUAGUGCUGACAUACAAGGUCAAGAGUCUCUAACCUUGCGGUACAACAAUCUAUGUCGGGAAGCCAUUAGAUAUGCAGAGGAAGGUGCAAUUGCUACAGAAACUUACAAUGCAGCAAUGAAUGCCCUUAGAGAUGGCGGGAAGAAGGUUACUAUUGUGAAGAAAAACGUUGCUAAAGUGCCACCUCCUACCUCUCAGGUUAGUGGGACUGGAUAUGAUGAUAGGAAGAGCUCGAUGUUAGCUUCAGAUGCAACCCCAUUGUUGUGGCCACACCAAGAUGAAGUGCUAAGGCGAUUUAAUCUUAAUGAUGCUGGAGCUCCUGUGCAAAAUGUUGCUGACUUGAAUUUGCCACGUAUGGCCCCUGUUUCUCUUCACAGAGAUGAUGGUACUGAAAACAUGGUUGUACUCCCUUGUUUAAAGUCAAUGACUUGGGUCAUGGAGAAUAAGAAUUCAACACCAGGGAACAGAGUCGCUGUCAUUAAUUUGAAGCUGCAAGAUUAUAGCAGGAGUCCAUCAGCAGAGUCGGAGGUUAAGUUUCAGCUAUCGAGAGUCUCAUUGGAACCGAUGUUGAGGUCUAUGGCCUACAUCAGUGAACAACUCUCAACACCAGCUAAUAAGGUUGCCGUGAUAAAUCUGAAGCUUCAAGACACUGAGACAACAACAGGGGAGUCAGAGGUUAAAUUUCAAGUUUCGAGGGACACAUUAGGCGCCAUGCUGAGAUCAAUGGCCUAUAUUCGCGAGCAGCUCUCAAAUCCUAGCGAAAGCCAGUCAGAGCCUCUACCCAAGAAGCAGCGGAAGUGACGCCGUUAUAAUUAUUUUCUUCCCGUACUGUACCCCAGGUGUGUGCGACCACCUAACUACUAAGCGCAAAGGUCAUGUGAUCAGACUAAGAAACGACGAAAACCGGAAAAGCCCAAGUGAGGCAAGUGGGGGGAAAACUCGGUUACUCCCGCUGAUCUUUUCACGUAGCAAAGGAAUUAUCUUGCUAAACAUGGGAGUUGUGAGAAUUGAUUUCAUUGAAUGUCUUGUAUAUUCUUGUUCUUUAAUUGCUAUCUGUAGAUAUUCUCUUGGCAAAUAAGAUUCCUUGAAAAACCAAGUUAUGUCAAAGUGUUUCCAAUGAUAUCUGCGGAACGGGAAUACAGCUUGGUUGUUUUUCUUUCAAGCCUUUUACUCUCUAUCACUUUCUCCGGAAUAUAAUUCCCACUGAAUACUGCGCAUCAAACGCCUCCUUAGAAAUUUCAAGUUUUGCUUCCUAUGAUGUGUUUAGUUGCA